CCAAAGCUGGCUACACAGUCUCUUAAGGAGUCAGAGGCUGACAGCAAAAUAACUCAUCUUAGCAGCUAGAUAUUGUAAUUCUGUGGACCGUAUAUUUAGCAUCCUCAGAUGAUAUGAAGUUACAAGGCUAGAUCCAUGUGUCAGCUGCAGAUUGAAAUCCUUUGGGAAAGAUAUAACUGGCAGAAAGCUACGUUACAUUGGAAUAAUUACUUUUUGCCUUAAGACUUUGGCAUGCCAUCUACCAGAAAGACCUAUUUCAGUAAAUGCCAACCACACCCAUAUAUUAGAAGUGGCAUCACAAAACAUACUCACUUAUUCCCAGAUAAUCAUUUGAUAAUGAGUCCAAUUUCUGCUGAGAUAAUGGUGGCUCUUUUGAUGUUACUGGAAAAAUGUAAGUAAAAUUAUUUAUGUAUCUGAAUUUCACCAUUAUGAAUAAAGUUUUACAAAAAUCCAA